rnacentral:lncRNA from 1 species
AGGUGUAGAUUAGACUAUCAGACUUCACUGGUUCUGAUUAAUGAUCAUCUUCUUCAUCUUCUUCCUCUGCAGGUCUGAUUACAGUAGAUGAUCGGUGCAGAUCUGAUCAGAGCUGUGUGUUUUAUGGAGCUGUGGGACGCCCGCUGUACCUGCAGCUGCCCGAUGAGGAGGAAUUAAAAUUAUUUACGAUAAAGAGUGAUUAUUAUUCUGAUCGGAUUUUACAUUUUAAAAAUAAAAUAAUUAUAGGAAAACCUUCAGAUCCAAGAUGGGAGUUUAAUACUGAAAACAAAACCAUGAUAAUAACCAGAGCAGAGAAAAAAGAUUCAGCAAGAUAUAGAUUACACACCUACAAUUCAACUGGAACCAACACAGGCAUUUACUAUCUCCAGCUGAUUAUAGAAGCUGCGGUGUCGUCAGUGAAAGUGACGAACAGCUGUUUCUCCAUUACGGAGAGAAAAGUUCACUGUUCAUCUGAUGGAGAUCAGAUUCAGUUCAGCUGGACUCUGGAUGGAAUUCCUCAUAAUCAGAAUCUGACUGAUGGGAAUCGGACUCUCCUGCUGGGUGAAAGAUCUACUGGAAACUUCACCUGCACUGUAAAGAAUCACGUCAGCAGCGGAUCUGCUACGGUUAUAAUAGAGCCCUGUCCUGAGACUACGACUGCGGCCUCAACUACGAGUACACCGACCACUGCGACCCCACCUCCUUUCAAUGGUACGAGUUCUACAGUAUCCAUCAAAAAGAAUGAGACCACACAGACCACAGCUAAACCCUCCUCCAUAGGAAAUAUCGUUGGCAGUCCUCUAUACUUACUUCUGAUCAUGCUGGGCUUGUUUGCUGUAUUGCUCAUCGUGGUUGCCGUCAUAGUGUGCCAUAUUUACAGGAAGAAACAAGCUCCAAAGACCACAGGAUCACCUCAGAAUGGGGAGGAACUGCUGUAUGUUCAUGUCAAUCAUAAACCCAAACCCAAAGACGGGGAGGAAGGAACCAGCAGACCAGCUCGAGUUCAGGAGGAGGAAGUGGAGUACGCCUCGGCCGUCAGGCAGCCCAAGCAGAAGAAGAAGAAGAAGAAGGAGCCGAAGGAGGAGGAAGUUCAGUACGGAGAGGUGGUCUUCAAAACCCCCGCCAAAAAGCAGCGAGAGCAGCCCGAGGAGGAGUGCGUUUACUCGCAGGUUCAGCACAAGCGGUGAGGACCACCCGCCAGCGCUAGCGCUCGGUUUACCGUCAAUCUGAGAAACUCAUGAUCAGAAAACUGAUUAUGUUAGUGGUGAAUGUUUAUGGGUGCUUCUUAAUAUGUUACUGUUUUAUUUAUACAUUAUUAUACCAUUAAUUAUAAAGCUAUGUAAGAAAUGUACAUUUUAUGUUUGAUAAGAAACAUAAAAAGGGUAUUUCUUAUUAAUGUGUAAUAAACCCUUAACUAAGUAUCA